GCCCUCUUGGUCAAUCAACAGCGUGGAAUCGUGUCCCUGAGCCCGGUGUGGAUGCUGGAGGUGUGACUGGAGGUGUAGGUGAUCCAGCUUCCCCUCUGCGAUCCAGGAUGCGUGGGAGUCCGUCAUCUCACAUGGAAGUGCGGCCAGGGAAGGCGUUGCCAAGUCCUCAGCUCUUUCCUGUGCUGGAGCCCCGCUGGAAUCCCAGGGGUCCGGAAAGAGGAAAGGAUACAUCUAGAAGAGGGAGAUACUCCCCGAGGUCAUCUCCUGGGCUAAAGGAACUCCUGAAGGAAAUGGAGAAGGCAGCGCGUGGAAGUGACCAACCAUCUGCACAGGACGCGCUGCGGUUUGGCAGCCAUCCCACACUGCCAGUCUCGGCCAGAGGAACACAGACAGCGCCGACAACUGGCAUGCCAGGGGUGGAUGCUGGGAAAAACACAAGGGCUGUGCUUCAGGAGUUUCUGCAGGUGCACUUCACCCUAGUGAUCACAGUGCUUGUAACUGUGCUGCUGUCUGGGCUGGUGAUGACCUGUAUUGCUGUGUCGUGGAUGUGGCACAAAUAUCCAGUGUGCAAGAGGGCAGAGACAGCUCCAGGACAAGCUCAUCCUGAGAGUGACCGGGAGAGAGGCCAAUCUGGAGGUGAAGGCAGAGCGGAGCUGGGAGAGGCAGCAGAAGAUGCCGUAGUUGCCCAAGAAAAGAAGAAUGUGUCCAGCGGAUCCAGCCCGUUCCCCCUCCUCCUUUGAAGCGGAGUUUGAACAGCUGUGCAGCAAAAUCCGCACAGACCCUUCCCCUUUGGCCCACGUGUCCCAGCAGCUCUCCCACGGACGGCGUCUCUUCCCCAGAUGCCCGCGGUUCUCGGGGUUCCCCAUAGCCAUCUAGUGCCCCGGUUACCUGUGUCAGCAGGGCUGGGGUCCCCUGGAAGACCCCGCUUUGUGAGUAAUAGACACCCUGUGCAAAAGCAGCUGUUUUGAGCAUUUCCAUGGGGUUCUAGUGCAUAGGGAAGGGCUGGGGAGGCUUGAUAUGUGAAGAGUUGUCCUUGAGCUCUUCUAGGCUCCUGCCCUGAAUCAGGGCAGGCGGCGAGGGAAGGAAGCAGCUGGAAGGGGGAGUUUCCAGCACUGAGCACAUGUGGGAGAAACGACGUGGUAGCAAAGGCUACCAGUACAAUGCUUACGCCUGCAGGUGAAGAGGCGACAGCCUGCCCUAUGGCAGUCCUAGAUUAGAAGUCACAGAAAUCAUCGUACGAGUCGUCAUAGAAGUCACGGAAUGGCGUGGAUUGGAAGGGACCUCAAGGACCUUCGGGUUCCAAACGCCAACCAAGCAAUGGGUUCUAGGGGACCCAUUGGAAGUAAGGUACCGCUUACAACGGAUGGUUUUGACAAGUGGAAAUGUGUCGUUCAGGAGUAUAGGAGCGAUCCGCUCGGGGUCGCUAAAAGAUUUGAAACGACACUAAAAGCAGCAUCCUGACUGGGCGGAUAUAGACGCGAUGCUGGGUGAGUUCACCGGGACGGAAGAGCAAUGAAUUCUGAAAACGGCUAGGACUCACAUCCAGGCUCAAGUGAGUGCCCGAACCCUGCAAGGGCAGAUGGAGGGUUUUGUCCUCCAUUUUCCCAAUUCAAGGGAAGACAAGGCCAGGCAAGGCAAGUCACAGCAACGCAAAGCCAGGCCAGGCAAGGCAAGGCCUGGCAAGGCAAGGGAAGGCGGGGCCAGGCCAGGGCCGUACACUCGAGGCGAGGCAAGGCAAUGCAAUGCCAGGCCAGGCAAAGGAAGGACCAGAAAGGCAAGGCCACGCAAGGCAAGCAGUGCAAUGCAAGUCAAGGCCAUGCCAGGCCAGGCAAGGCAAAGCCAGGACAGGCCAGGCAAGGCAAGGAAAGGAAAGGCCAGACAAGGCAAGGCCAAGCAAGGCAAGGCAAGGUUAUGCAAUGCAAGGUGAUUCCAGACAAGGCCAGGCCAAGCAAGGCAAGGCAGGUACUUCAAGGCCAGGAAAAACCAUGCCAGGCCAGGCCAGGCAAGGGCAGGCCAGGCCAGGCCAUGCAAGUCACGGUAAGGAAAGGCCAGCCAAAACAAGGCCAGAAAAUACCAGGGAAAGAAAGGCAAGGCAAUGCCAUGCCGGGCAAGGAAAGGCUAGGCAAGGCAAGGCAUGGUCUUCCCAGGCAAGGGAAGGGAAGGGAAGGCUAGGCAAGGCAAGGCAAGUCACAGCAAUGCAAAGCCAGGCCAGGCAAGGCCAGGCAAGGCAAGGCAUGGCAAGGCGAGGCCCGGCAAGGCAUGGCAAGGCCAUGCAAGGCAAGGCCAGGAAAGGCAAGGCCAAACAAGACCAGGCAAGGCAAGGCAAGGGAAGAAAAGGCCUGGCAAGGCAAUGCUAGGGAUGGUCAGGCAAGGCCAGGGCUGGCAAAGCCAGGCCAGCCAAGGCAAUUCAAGUCAAGUCACGGCAUAGCCCAGCCAAGCACGGCAAGGAACGGCAAAGCAAGUCCAGGAAAGGUCAGGACACGCCAGGCAAGGCGAACCCAGGCAAGGCAAGGCAAAGCAAAGCAAGGGAAGGCAAGGACGGCCAGGCAAUGAGAGGCAAGGCAAGACUAGGCUAGGCCAGGUAAGGCCAGGCCUGGCCAGGCCAGGAAAGGCCAAGUAAGGCCAGGCCAUGCAUAGCAAUGCCAGGCCUGGCAAGGCAAGGCCAGGCCAGGCCAGGUAAGGCAACGUAAGGCCAGGCAAGAAAAAGCAAAGGCCAGGCCAGACAAGCGCAGGUCAAGGAUGGCCAGGCAAGGCCACGCCAGGCUAGACCAGGCAAGCCUAGGCAAGGCAAGGGAAGGCCAGGCAAGGCCAGACAACACCAGGCGAGGCAAGGUGACACGAGACCAGGGGAGUCCAGGCCAGGCAAAGCAAGGCCAGGCCAGGCAUGGCAAAGCAAAGCCAAGACAGGCAAGGCCAGGCAGUGAAAGGAAAGGCAAGGCAAGUCACUGCAAUUCAAGGCCAGGUCAGGCCAGGAAAAGCGCAUCAAGGCCAGUCCAGGCCUUUCCAGCAAGACAAGGUUAGGCACAGUCAGGCCAGGCAAGGAAAAGGAAGGCAAGGCAAGGCCACGCCAUGGAAAAUUAGGAAAGACCAUGCAAUGACAGGGCAGGCCACGCCAGGCCAGGCUAGGCAAGGACAGGACAGGCCAGGCAAGGCAAGGCUAGGUAAGGCCUGGCAAGGCAAGGAAAGUCCAGGCAAGGCAGGGCCAGGCCAGAACAGGCUAGACAAUCCAAGGCAAGGUCAGGCAGAGCCAGGCUAGGCAAGGCCAGUCCAGGACAAAACCGGACUAAUCAGGACAGAACAGACAAGGUCAGGCAAGGCAAGGUAAAGCAAUGAAAGGCAAGGCAAGGAAAUGGACAGCAAGGCAAGGCUAGGCAAGGCAAGUCAAAGUACACCAAGGCCAGUCAAGGCAAGGCAAGGUCAGGCCAGACAAGGCAAUGCUAGGCCAUGGAAGGCCAGGCAAGGCGAGGGCAUGCAUGUCAAUGCCAGGCUAGUGACAUGCGAAAACCAGACUAUAUAGCUAGUAAGGAUAUAAAGAAGGUGUAUGUCUAUGGGGGACACACGUGCACCCUGGUGCAAGGGGGAUCGUUCCACCUAACUUGUACACCGUCAGGAGAAAUCAUGCUAUAGAUAUGGGUCGAACUAAUACAUAAUCAAUUGUUGACAGGAAUUCAGAUACAUAUUCAUUACAUUCCCGAGAUGAAGGCUCAUAGUCUUUCUCGCGAAGGCUCGUAGUCUUCCUCACUGCAAACGUCUGAUCCCGAAGGGGAGGUAUCCCCCGAAGCGGUUUCGGCUUUCCCUGUAGACAUCUAAUCACCUCCCUGACAAAUGUUUUCGAGAGGCGUGGCAGGCGAGGCAGUGCGGGGCGAGGAGAGAGGAAGGGAGGCGAGGUCAAGCGGGGCCUGGCAUUGACAAGCGGGGCGAGGCAACCAUGAAAUACUGGUUUGGCAGGAGUUCCGCGAAGGAAAGAUGCUGGGUUGACAAUAAUAAUGACAAUUCUUUCUGUAUCAUCCUGCUCUAUCAGGAUGGCCUGGUAUCUCAGGAACCUUUGGGGGUGAGAACCAACGCCCCCCUUUUGCCUUCAUGACAGUAGACACUGUAUCAGAUAUUCCAACUGUUAUUCUUCGGCCUAGCGUAAAUUUACUGGGUUCUUGACUACUGAGCACUAGCGCAGCCACCGCUCUAACCACUGAGGCCAUCUCUUACUUCAUAAAAAGGCUUUAGCAACAGUCCGUAGCUGUGUAUCCACGGUUGGUACCCUCCUGUUAUUCCUGAGAAUGUACGGAGUUCCUUGGCACUUUGUGGUUCAGGGGUUUAGCAGAUGGCAUCUUUUUUGGCAGUCCUUAAGGUUCCAAGUCCAGUUGUAAUCUCCUAUCCCAGAUCCGUCACUUGCCAUUGAGUUAUUUGUGCCUUCUGCUGAGAAACUUGAUCAUCAUUGAAACAGAGAAAUUCAGCAAAAUCACAGUCCAUUGCGCACAGUCCUCUUUGUUUCUGUAGCAUCCACAUGCUGCAGUAAAGUUCCACCGUGGGAUGGAGGAAACCAAAUCUCAGGCUCACGAGUCCACCAGUUCUCAAAAAUCAUUGAGCUGUUCUCACGACCCUGGUUAACACUGUCCAGGUUAACUGAGUCUUUUCUGUCCCAUAUUGGGGUUCUCUUAAUCAAAGGCAAAUAACCUUAGGCUUCCUUUAGCCAAACCAGGCAGAAAAGGCAUCCUUCAAAUCCAGAAGGUAAACACCUACUCAUUCCCUAGCUUAGUUACUAAAGUGGAUGGAUUAGCCACCAUGGAGUUCAUACAUUCAGCAAUUCUAUUACUUACCCUCCAAUCUUGUACUAAACCAUAGCACUUGCUAUCCAAUUUUUCAUUGGCAAGAUUGGAAUAUUGUAUUUGGAUUCACAUUCAAUUAGUCAUCCAAAAUCCAAAACUUAUCUAUUUUCUUUUCUUUUAUCCUUCUACAGUUGCAUAUCCUCAAAUGGCACUGCUUUACCC
rnacentral:lncRNA from 7 species